rfam:Rhodotorula sp. JG-1b unplaced genomic scaffold RHOSPscaffold_29, whole genome shotgun sequence.
GGCCGCAUGGUGUAGUGGUUUAGCACUUUGGUCUUCGACUUGCAGGAAACCAAGGGUCGUGGGUUCGACCCCCACUGUGGUCG